GGAAGGGAGAGAUCCUUCAGGACUAAAGGAUGGUUCCAUGGCGGAGAGAGAGAUUUGAUAGGAGGUGUUACCUUCCUUACAGAAAUCUUGAGACCAUAGGAUCCAAUGCCCAUCUAAUGCCAAUGAGAGCAGUCAAAACUGAAACUCAAACUUGAAGAGAAUUAAGGAUAAGGAUUAUCUAAACCUGCUUGAAAAAAAAUCCCCAAAAAUUAGAUAUUGAAG